rnacentral:piRNA from 1 species
UCAUAGACAAUCGUGAAGGCU